UAAGGCCUUUUUUUAAAAGCACCACAGCUAUUUGGGAACACAGAAGCCACAAUGCGCUUGAUCCCUUGUGUGCUCCAUUUUUGUGUUUACGCUGAGGUGGUUCUCUAUUCUUAGGUCUACAAACUCUAGGUAAAUGGCUUAAAAAAAAAAAAAAAAACUGAGAUACUUUAGCCCCGCUUUCAUGGAACCCAAACUGUUAUGUAAUGGGUGGGGCACAUAUGCUAUUCUAAGGAAGGCAAACUUGAUUGGAUGAAUCCCCCAGCCUUUUCCACUGGUUCGGCUGAGGGUUAAGUUUUGAAGAGAGACAGAAAAAGGGGAUUGUCUCCACUUACUAGAGAGACUUUGGAGAGGGGCUGGCCUGAUGGCCUUAGUCUGGAGGUUUGGCAUGGAAUACAGUGGCCAAAGAAAGAUCCCUCGGGAUGGAUGCAGGAGGGAGUUUUGAAACUAGGAGGUUGAGUGUGUGAAGCUGUUUGCGGGGCUGUAAUAGUUCAUUCUCUUUCCCCUGCAAUCUCCCUUUAUCAGUGUCGGCUGUGGAAGAGGCCUCUCAUGGGGAGUUUUGUUUUUCUGAGCUUUGCAUUUUGUCGGGGUGCAUGGGGGAGGAAAAACCACAGGGUGUCAGUUGACACCCACAUCAAUGCAGUUACAGGACAGGAACUGUACUGGGGGGCGGCGGGCUGACCCCUCCGAAAGCCACCUACUUAGAAGCCAGGAGCUUGGGGCAAGGCUGCUGAGGGCAGUGAUGGGAUGGAGGGCUCUGGGAAAGGGCUGCUGAUGUCCCGGAAGGCAGGAUGGAGGUGGGAGCUGAUCUCUGGAAAUUAGAAGGAAGGGAAACCACAGCUGUUCCUAGCAGAAGUCCUUUGUUGGCCUGUGUUUCUCUCUCCCCUCCCUCUUUGGGAAGGGGAUUAGUUACCAAGUAUGUAUCUUUACACAACUUCGAAUUUUCUCACCCUUGGGAGAUAUUCUUUAGUUUCUCCAUAACUUUGUCGUGGGAGCUCUGGGUCGCUUUUCCAGGGCCCCUGGGGGAUGGAACUGAGCUCUGACUCCAGGGCAAUGUUUAUUCUACCACGCUACACGCAGGUGACACGGACCUUGGAACGUCUGGAGGGCGAACUUCACUGGGGGCAGGGGGCCCUCUGCUGACUUAGGCUCUACAAGGCCCCAGUCGAGGAAUUUAGCCUCAUUCCUCUGGUUCCUACAGUUUAGAUCUCCCCCUGGUGAUGAGUGUAAUGUUUGUUGAUUGUACUCAGGCAAACCACACGCAAACUCAGCCCUGACAAUCUAUCGUCUAAUAAUUUUAAUACCAACUGAGGAUCCUUGUCUGAGUCAGUGACUUCAUCGGGGACUGAAAAGUGAUGAUUUUGCAUGUUUGUUUAGCUCCAUCUGCCUGUAUUAGCUGGUGUUCUGUAAAGUUCAGCUUUCACUUAUCAACUAGGACUACUGGUUUCUAGAAAUAAAAGUCUUCCUGGAAAGGCAGAAUUAAUGCAAAAAGUUUUCAAAGUCAGGAGCUGGCUUAAUGUCUACCUCAAAUGGUGACAAGGAGGUUUUAGUGACCAUCUGAUAAUCAUGGAGAACUUUGGGAGUUUCACAGACCUAACUCAUCUCACUUAGUGAUCUCGAUGCUCAAAUGGGGCCACAUUAGGCCGCUGGGAACCACAUCAUCCCGGCUUUUGUGUCCUUGUGAUGUGACCCCAGUGGCCUUCGAAAGCUUCUUUACUUUGAGGCCCCGGAUAACCUGAGCACCCGUACGUCCCUCUUCCUAACCUGGAGCCAGCCUUUUUCCAAGGGGCUCUGGCUAUUUUUAGUCUGGAAUAAUAUUGAGACCAAAAUUUGGGCUAGAAUUUUUUUUUUUUUUUUUUUUUUGUAAGUAGUUUCCCCCCACCCCAUAACGAAACUGUAAUCCCAUGGCGAAUGUUUUCUAACUUGACUUUUUUCACAUCAUUAUUCUACUAGACAUGUUUCAAAAAACUAAAUAGUGUUCUAGGAGUUCCCGUUGUGUCGCAGUGGUUAACGAAUCUGACUAGGAACCAUGAGGUUGUGGGUUCGAUUCCUGGCCUUGCUCAGUGGGUUAAGGAUCCGGCUUUGCUGUGGCUCUGGCAUCAGCUCCGAUUAGACCCCUCGCCUGGGAACCUCCAUAUGCCUCGGGAAGUGGCCCUGAAAAGGCAAAAAAUAGUGUUCUAUAAAGGCACCAUCAUUCUUACUGAAUAAGUCUGUGCAGUCAGAGUCUAACAUAAUUUUUUUUUAAAGGCUAUUAAAUAGGAAGCCUAGGAAAACUGUACUGGCCUGCAAAAUUUUCACUGUCUUUAACCUAUUGGUUAGUGCUAUCCUUUACCAGCUAUUCCAGAUAUUAUGAGACUAAAAUGUUUUUAUUAAGAAUUCUCAAAUUCUCUUCCCUGUAGACAGUCCUAGAAAAGCAACCUCCAAAGGAAGAGACUAAAAAACACACGCUACAUUUUCUCUGGGUUUAUUUAUGGAUUUCUGCUGAGUUGUAUCAUUUUCCCAGCUUUACCUCCAUCAUAACAUCUGUAGGCACUUCUAUUGGUCAGGGCUUAAUUUUGUGGAAGAGAAUCAGAAUUUAGAACUGCAGGACUGUGUUCUAAUCUAGUUCUGGGGGUGAGAAAACGGGCUGGCAGAGCCGGUGGUAGAGGUAGGAGGAGGAAUUCAGGACGUCCCCACCCACCCCAGCCCCUCCAGUCCCACUUGCCACACGGCCACUCAGUGCCUGCACAGUUUGGGAAGAGGAAAAGGUCAAGAUCAAACUAGAACUCACUAUGGUGAGACCUGGUGACCGAAGCCGGAAAAGAAUCAAGAAUGGAAAUCCAAGCGAUCAGCAUUUAGCCACAGAAAACAGGAGGGGCUCCAGUGGUUAAACACACACACACACACACACCCCCCCCGAAGGGACGAGGGUUACAAAGUCACGUUACAGCAGUGCAUGAAAACAGAAACUACCCUAUGGAAAGGGUGGAGAGCCUUCGUGGGGCAUUUUGAACGCUUUCCGGGGAGAGUGGCUGGUGGAAAAGAGAGCAUCCAGGUGCUGUUUAAUGGACAACAUCAAGCAAAAGACCCCAAGCCUAGGACACUGACAUUAGCUGUAUGUUUAUGCUUCAACAUUGCUACAUUUCUAAAAAUGCGAAUUACAUUUUGCCAAGUAUUUCUUAUCUAUACUGUGGGAGGUCAGAAAAAAGCAGUGCUCCAUGAUAUUGAUGUCUGGGUAAUUCCUAGUUCUUCUUUUAACAACUUUUAUCCUCUAUUUUAUUAAGAUAUUGAGGCGUUCCCAUUGUGGCUUAUUGGGUUGAGAACGGGACACGGUGUCCAUCCAUGAGGAUGUGGGUUCGAUCCCUGGCCUCACUCAGUGGGUUAAUGAUCUGGUGUUGCUGUGGCUGUGGUGUAGGCCAGAGGCUACAGCUCUGAUUUGCCUGGGAACUUGCAUAUGCCACAGGUGCCGCUGUAAAAAGCAAAACAAGUUCACAAAAAUAUCAACUCCUUAUGUUGUACAUCUGAAAGUAAUAUAAUACUCUAAGUGGCCUAUACUUCAACGAAUAAGCAAACAAGCCAGCGAAGGCCACGAUGAUGAUGACUUAGGUUCCCAGGGCCCACACCCCCUCUGGUGGAGGCCAUAAAAAGUCACCGAAUUCCCACACACCGAUGUCCUAAUGUUACCUGGUCAGGGGUAACUCGAAGACUUUGUUUUACUAUCAGCAACACCUUGAGCUUUGUAAAGAUUAACAGGGCUUGUGGCCUUCGAUGUCUAUUGCCAGAUGAUGACAUACGAAAAAUCUUUUUCUUCACUCACCAUUUGACCCCACGUGGCUCCUCCUCUAUGCAUGCGUCCUGGUGGUAAGAAAGGCAGUUCUUCCUCCUCUUCAAUCCUGGGCUGUUCAAGAGUGGAAUCAUUUUGUGAAAGAAGUUAAAGUGCAGUCAGCAAUAGUAUUUUUGAUAUUGUUCAGUGCUGCCAGGCCCUGAUUUCUGCUGCAGCAAAUCUCGUAUUACACAGAGUGGUCUUCUCGCUACCCCUCCCUCCAUAUUUUCAUAUAUUAGAUUUUUUAAAGGCUGAAUUAUGAACUUUUCAGAGUUCUAGGUUUAUGAAUCUCGUUGGCUUUCAAGAUAUCCUGGCUCGUAGACGUAAGAAUACUUGCACUAUAAUGACAUAAAAAAGAAUUUGAUAUUUCUAUCUCCGGCUUAAAAUAAACAUACAAUGUUUUUCAAGAAAUAGUACCCAACGCUUUCAAAUAAUCUGCCUUUUAUAUUACAUCAUUCUUUUAUUGUUAUUAUUUUUUGGCUUUUUUGUUUUCAUUGUUGUCUUUUCAGAGCCACACCCGCGGCAUAUGGAGGUUCCCAGGCUAGAGGUCUAAUCGGAGCUGUAGCCGUCGGCUUAUGCCACAGCCACAGCAACUCGGGAUCUGAGCCAUGUCUGUGGCCUACACCACAGCUCACAGCAACGCUGGAUCCUUAACCCGCUGAGCAAAGGCAAGGAUCAAACCCGCAACCUCAUGGUUCCUAGUCAGAUUUGUUUCUGCUGCACCACAAUGGGAA
rnacentral:lncRNA from 1 species